rnacentral:rRNA from 1 species
GACGAACGCUGGCGGCGUGCUUAACACAUGCAAGUCGAACGGUGAAGGGGUCUGCUUUUGUGGGCCCUGGAUGAGUGGCGAACGGGUGAGUAACACGUGAGUAACCUGCCCCCUUCUUCUGGAUAACCGCAUGAAAGUGUGGCUAAUACGGGAUAUUCUGGGUCUGUCGCAUGAUGGGUCUGGGAAAGAUUGCGCCUUUGGGUGUGUGUGGUGGGGGAUGGGCUCGCGGCCUAUCAGCUUGUUGGUGGGGUGAUGGCCUACCAAGGCGGUGACGGGUAGCCGUGCUGAGAGGGUGGACGGUCACACUGGGACUGAGACACGGCCCAGACUCCUACGGCAGGCAGCAGUGGGGAAUAUUGCACAAUGGGCGCAAGCCUGAUGGAGCGACGCCGCGUGAGGGAUGGCGGCCUUCGGGUUGUAAACCUCUUUCGCCAGUGAAGCAGGCCUGUUCCUUGUGGGUGGGUUGACGGUAGCUGGAUAAGAAGCGCCGGCUAACUACGUG